GCGGGGAGCCGGCGGCCAGGGCGGCGCUCAGACUGGGCCGGGAGCUCCGGCUGCGCGGGCUCUCGGCGGCCGCGGCGACAGCAUCCUCCACCGCCUCCUCUCUUUCUUUUCUUCCCCUCCGCUUCUUUCUUUUCUUUCUCCUUCUCCUCCUUAUUUUCCUGCCCUGUCCCACCCCCACCCACCCCCCUGCUCCUUCUCCAGAGGACCUUAGGUCCUCAAGUCCCUGAGCGGUGGCAGCGGCGACUGCGGGUGCAUCGUUUCCGCGCCCAGAUUUUAUUGAUCUGAUCCAACCUGUCUUGUGACUGCUAGCUGGAAUUAAGAAGAAAAAAUAAACACCAAUAUCUUGACACAUGGGAGCCAAAUGUUCCAACUGACAUUCAUGCUGUCUGGAUUUGUUUUAUUUUGGAAUGAAUAUUACCAAGCUUGUUUGCAGUUAAAGAUCCUUCAGAUUGUUGUCUCUAAUCGAGGAAACAUUGAUUGGAAACUACUCAUUCAGAAAAUUAAAAGAAAGAAACCAGAACAUAUUAUCAACCUUUGAGAACACAAUAUAACGAACUUUACCAUUUUACCACUUCUUUGAACAGGAAACAUCCCAGGACAUUGAAGAAUGGCAGAUGAUCGGAAAGAUGAAGCAAAGGCGCCUCACUGGACCUCAGCUCAACUUACAGAGGCAUCCGCCCAACCACACCCACCGGAGAUCAAGGAUCAAGGUGGGGCAGGGGAAGGACUUGUCAGAAGCGCCAAUGGAUUCCCCUACAGAGAGGAUGAAGAGGGCGCCUUUGGAGAACAUGGGUCCCAGGGCACCUACUCAAAUACCAAAGAGAACGGAAUCAACGGAGAACUGACCUCAACUGACAGAGAAACAGCAGAGGAGGUGUCUGCAAGGAUAGUUCAAGUAGUCACGGCGGAAGCUGUAGCAGUCCUGAAAGGUGAACAAGAGAAAGAAGCUCAGCCUAAAGAUCAACCUCCUGCUCUGCCUUUAGCAGCUGAAGAGACAGCUAAUCUGCCUCCUUCUCCACCCCCAUCACCAGCCUCAGAACAGACUGUCCCAGUGGAGGAAGCAGCAGGUGCUGAAUCAGCUCAGGCUCCCAGUGUAUUUAAACAGGCAAAGGACAAAGUCUCUGAUGGAGUUACCAAGAGCCCAGAGAAGCGCUCUUCUCUGCCGAGACCUUCCUCCAUCCUUCCUCCUCGCCGAGGUGUCUCAGGAGACAGAGAUGAGAACUCCUUCUCUCUCAACAGUUCUAUCUCUUCUGCGCGGCGGACCACUCGGUCAGAGCCAAUUCGCAGAGCAGGAAAAAGUGGCACUUCCACACCCACUACCCCUGGAUCAACCGCCAUCACUCCUGGCACCCCACCAAGCUAUUCUUCACGCACCCCGGGCACUCCUGGAACCCCCAGCUACCCCAGGACCCCUCACACACCAGGAACCCCCAAGUCGGCCAUCUUGGUUCCCAGUGAGAAGAAAGUCGCCAUUAUACGCACGCCUCCGAAAUCUCCUGCUACUCCCAAACAGCUUCGGCUUAUCAACCAACCACUGCCAGACCUGAAGAAUGUCAAAUCCAAAAUUGGAUCCACAGACAACAUCAAAUACCAGCCUAAAGGGGGCCAGGUACAGAUUGUCACCAAGAAGAUAGACCUAAGCCAUGUGACAUCCAAAUGUGGCUCUCUGAAGAACAUCCGCCACAGGCCAGGUGGUGGGCGUGUGAAAAUUGAAAGUGUGAAGCUAGAUUUCAAAGAAAAGGCCCAAGCUAAAGUCGGUUCGCUUGACAAUGCUCACCACGUUCCCGGAGGUGGUAAUGUCAAGAUUGACAGCCAAAAGUUGAACUUCAGAGAGCAUGCUAAGGCCCGUGUGGACCAUGGGGCUGAGAUCAUUACACAGUCCCCAGGCAGAUCCAGCGUGGCUUCCCCCCGACGACUCAGCAACGUCUCCUCUUCUGGAAGCAUCAACCUGCUUGAAUCCCCCCAGCUUGCCACCCUGGCCGAGGAUGUCACUGCCGCACUCGCUAAACAGGGCUUGUGAAUAUCUCUCAUUUAGUAUUGAUGUCAUACUAUUUAGGCAUGAGCUCUGGCAGGAGUGGGCUCUGAGCAGGUGUUAUAUUCAUUCUUUACAAACCGUAAAAUAAAUAAUCUCAUUCCCAAACUGUAGUAAUUGUUACAAUUUUAUAAAAAAAAAUAGUAUAUGCAGAAAUUGAUUUGAUUUCCAUUUGCAACAGGAAGAUACUGGCUUUACAUGAGUACAAUUGGACAAUUUUUUUUUCGCUCUGCUGUUUUGCAUGGAGUAUCAUUAUUUUAAAAAUUGCAUUUCUACCUUUCAUGUGCCUGAAGGCUAUCUACUACAUUCUGAAAGGCCUUGUUAAAAUCCAAGCUGCUCAUUUCACUAUUCUGUUGCUGGGUGAAAAGAUAAAAAGUUGCCCCUUGUAACUUAUUACAGGUUAAAUUAAAUCAAGGAGUCAUUGCAGGAAGGGAAGAGCAUGUAAGAAAUGGUUUUUUUUUAAAGCGUUAUUUUGUAUAAAUGGGAAGAAAGAUUCAAUUAAGUUAUUAACGUUUGGGACCUGGAUAAUUAUAUCAGAGUAUAAGUCAAUCCAAUAAAUUAUUUAAUUAAUUAAAAAAUAGUUUCGAAGCAUUUGAGCUGUGGUUGAGGAAGUGAAAGUGCAUCUCUUAGGAAUGAAGCACUUUCAUUAGGAUGGACUUGUGUCUGGUUAGGAUGUCAGUUGAUCAGCUAGAUUUGUGUCCACACUACCAGUUUCACACCCUUUCCAUCUGUUUGAUACAGUAUUAUAGAUAUAAAUAUAUAUAUAUAUUUCUCUGUGGCCAUUUGUGAUACUUCCUCAUACUUGAAUAUUAUACUUCCUUAUUCACAGUAUCUGUGUCUCCUGCACCCUUUGGUGUUGCAAUUUUAGGUAUGUGAAAGUAGAUGUUAGCAGGGUUCUCUCCCUAUUAAAAAAAAAAAAGUUAAAAAAGACAAAAAGUUUUAGCAUGAAGUUGCUUUCUGUAACAACUCAAAACUGUAACCCUGUUUUAGUGCCAGAUACAAGUUUCUCCCAUUAAAGUUUCUCCCGUGAUGCUAGAAAAAAUUUAUUUUUCUUUGCUUUCACCAACAUGGAGUUUGUUGGGGGUGGGUCCAGUUAUACAUAAAAGGGGUUUACAGAUUGUUGGUUUAAGAUUAUGGGUUUGUCUUAUUUUGAAUCACAGAAUAUUUUGGGGUUUACUCCUAUAAUCAUUCAUGGAAUAGACUUAUUAAGAUUUCUUUUUCUUUUUUUUCCAUUUGCUAAAGUUGAAACUAACAGUGGGAGUUUGGGACAUGAUAUUCCAUUCUUCCAAGCAGUACCUGUUUAUUCAGUUAUCUGAUAGAAAAUGUUUGGCCUCCAUACCCGAAGUAAGAUCCCUUGAUCAGAAAGGGAAAAUACAGUAUUUUGAGAAGCUACAAAAUAUUGGAGAUGCAGAUAUCUAAAUCAGUUUUUUCAUGAUUCCAACAUUGCACUCUAUAAAGGAAUACUGUUUUACUAUUAUUUAUCAGUAGCUAAUACGGUUCUGACUUUAUAUACAGUCUAGACAUCACAAAUCAACUAAUUCUUCUUUAAGAAUCAUUCAUCUUAAAUUUAUGAAGAAGCAAUGAAAUAGUCAUUAUUAGUCUGAGUAGGGCAAUGGGUUACUAUGAUGAAUGGAUGCUUUUUAGUAUUUAUCUGUUCUUUUUCUUGCUCAGGGCUGGUAGGCUGGAUCUGAAAAGUUAAAGGCAAAUGUUUCAAUAGGGUUUGAUCCCUUUGAGUCAAAUCAGUUCUCAAGCAUAAAGGAGGAAAUGAUGAACAUGGACUGAGGCAAUAAGCUAGUAUAGUAGCAUCUAAGAACGAAGCUGAAGGAUGGAAAGGCAGAGAGACACGGGUGCCGUGUUGUGACCCAUUGGAAGUUACAGCCAACGUGACUUCCGUGAAAGAAACUCUGUGAGCAAAAGUGCACCAUUCACUGUCAACUAAGAGAUUUUACGGAGGCAAACAUUUCUGAAACUAUAGCUCAGUUAUUUAGGAUAGUCAAAGAUUUAGAAAGGACUGAUUAGGACUAUGGGUGUGUCUAUUUUCUGUCUAAUUAUUGCUGUGAGGUUUGAUUUGACCAAUCUGGGCAUUUUAUUCAUCAGCUUCCUUUGAAAUGCACCAGGAAAUAGGAAAAGAAAGAAUAGCUGUGUGGGGACUUAAUGGUAUUUUCUUAUGUGUUAGGUAGUGUUAGGUAGUGAUUAAAGCUCUAGAAAGAAAUUAACAGCUGGUUAGAACAAUUUUAACCUGUGAAACAUGUAUUUUUUUCAACUUGGUUUAAAAUUUUUAUAAACACUAAGUAACCAUGUUCUACAUAUUAAAAUUGUUUUUUUACAAAUACAUGUCUAAAAUAAAGAUUAUAUAAGGUACCCAGUGAUUAGAUUUGGCAUUAAAACAAAUGUUUGCUUCAAAUCACAGCAAAAUUACAAUGACUAAAUACCCUCACUUUGUAUGGAAAUUAAUAAUUCUAUAAAAUGAAAUUGAAAAUUGGUAGCAGUAAAAGAAAGAAAUACAGGCUAACUGUCUUCUUUGGGGGAUAAGGGGUGGAACCCAUCUUACCUUUACUCUCAAGAUUAACGACACAAAUUAAGCUUUUUGAACACCACUCUUGUGGGGACAUCCAUACGCUGAUCUAGAAAUUAAGGCUUCAUAGUCUCAAUUCUAGAUCAAUUAAUGCCAGUUUCUCUCUGGCUUUUGCCUUGGAGAACCUGUUUAAGGAAACAUAAGUAAUCCAGAGCUAUGAAGAGUUAAAAGGCCCACUCACUCUCUCUGGGUCACCUGCAACCAAUAAUUGGGUACCUUUCAAUGAUGCAGGAGAGAUCCGAGUUCAUGAUGAGUUUCAAAGGCCAUGUUCAUUUAGGAACCAACUCUCUCUGGAUUCUCCUGCUGAGUUCCAGCAGGGUGAUGGGCUGAAAUCCCACCCACAAGCAAGACACCUGUGGAUCACCAACGAGGUAUAGCUGAAGAAGGCUGAAGUGAGAACUUGGUUAAAUGGAAGAAAGUACUGACAGUAGCUGGCCUUCUCCACAUACUCACAUAGUUUUAGAGCAGGAAAUGGGAUCAUCAGGCAAAAUAAGAGAUCAAGUCACUAUUAAAGAAAUCAUCUCAAUGUGGUUGAUUUUUGACAUAGCUGCAAUUAUAGCAUUUUCUCCUAUUUUUUACACUAUGAAAAGGAGGAAAACAAACCAUUCAUGGUCUAAGUAGCUAGAAAAGGUAGAUUCAUGGUUUGAAAAGGCAAAUUCUAGGCAUUCUUUCCAAGAUUAAUAUGUUAAAUCAGUAUUGAUGUUUGUUUUUUUAAACCUAGGGUUUUUAGCCUGGGUAUGUAGGUUGAGGCCAAGUCCCUCUGCAGGAAAAAGCUUAUUUUUAAACUCAGAAAAUGUCAAUCAUGAUACUUCAACUUUAGCAAAAAGAAAAAAAUCAACAAAAAGUAUACUCUGUAUGCUGGGAUUCCAAGGUUCCAACAUGCCGCUACAAAUCUGUGGGGGGUUUCUUUCUUCUGAUAAUUCUAGAGCCUGUUACCAUAGAAAGGCAUUUCUUCAAUGGCUGGUUGUAGUUAGUUCAUGUUUUUCAAUCAAAAUUUGCAAAUGUAUUUGUUGCUGUAUAGUGAUUGUUUUGCAAAAUAAAAUUGCUUGUCACCU
rnacentral:lncRNA from 1 species